rnacentral:rRNA from 1 species
UACGUAGGGGGCUAGCGUUGUCCGGAAUUACUGGGCGUAAAGGGUGCGUAGGCGGUUGCCUAAGUCAGAUGUGAAAUCCCCGGGCUUAACCCGGGUGGUGCAUUUGAAACUGGGCGGCUGGAGUGCAGGAGAGGGAAGCGGAAUUCCUAGUGUAGCGGUGAAAUGCGUAGAUAUUAGGAGGAACACCAGUGGCGAAGGCGGCUUUCUGGACUGUAACUGACGCUGAUGCACGAAAGCGUGGGGAGCAAACAGG